UAAUUAUGAUGAGUACUAUACUUCAAGGUCCGUGUUUUUGAUUGACCCUGAUAAUAUAGAAGUUCUGAGCUG